GACAAUUUGGCGUCACGAACAGGAUAUCUUGAGUGACUGACCGGAGGACCAGAACCCGUGAUUGCGCAUCCUGAAGGAUUCUUCAGCCCCUGGGUCAGCCUUAACCGACAGGGGACGGCGGGGGGACUCCGUUCAGGCACCACUGAUAUCCAGAAUGAAGGCUGCGUGUGGAGCAGCAUCCAGAAUCACACACGGUGAGACGUUUUCAUAUCGGACUCCCAUUUACCGCUCCUUCUCUCACUAUCUUAUGAAAAUAGGGUAGGGAGGGUGAAUGGGACUCCCCAAUAUGUAACAAAG